rfam:Salmo salar isolate Sally breed double haploid chromosome ssa11, whole genome shotgun sequence.
GUCCCUGUAGCUCAGUUGGUAGAGCAUGGUGUUUGCAGCGCCAGGGUUGUGGGUUCGAUUCCCAUGGGGGGCC